rnacentral:rRNA from 1 species
CCAGACUCCUACGGGAGGCAGCAGUGAGGAAUAUUGGUCAAUGGGCGGGAGCCUGAACCAGCCAUGCCGCGUGAAGGCGAGUGCCCUACGGGCGUUAAACUUCUUUUGUGCGGGAGCAAUAAGGGCCACGUGUGGCCCGAUGAGAGUACCACACGAAUAAGCAUCGGCUAACUCCGUGCCAGCAGCCGCGGUAAUACGGGGGAUGCGAGCGUUAUCCGGAUUUAUUGGGUGUAAAGGGAGCGCAGACGGCAGGGCAAGUCUGAUGUGAAAGUCCGGGGCUCAACCCCGGGACUGCAUUGGAAACUGUCCGGCUAGAGUGCAGGAGAGGUAAGUGGAAUUCCUAGUGUAGCGGUGAAAUGCGUAGAUAUUAGGAGGAACACCAGUGGCGAAGGCGGCUUACUGGACUGUAACUGACGUUGAGGCUCGAAAGCGUGGGGAGCAAACAGGAUUAGAUACCCCUGUA